rnacentral:rRNA from 1 species
UACGAAGGGGGCUAGCGUUGCUCGGAAUUACUGGGCGUAAAGCGCACGUAGGCGGCUUUCUAAGUCGGGGGUGAAAGCCUGUGGCUCAACCACAGAAUUGCCUCGAUACUGGUUGGCUUGAGACCGGAAGAGGACAGCGGAACUGCGAGUGUAGAGGUGAAAUUCGUAGAUAUUCGCAAGAACACCAGUGGCGAAGGCGGCUGUCUGGUCCGGUUCUGACGCUGAGGCGCGAAAGCGUGGGGAGCAAACAGG